rnacentral:tRNA from 1 species
GCCCUCGUAGUUCAAUGGAUAGAACAGGGGCGUUCUAAGCCCUUGAUGUGGGUUCGAUUCCUACCGAGGGCG